CCUAGGAUGUGCCAUCCUAAGGAGUCACUGCCUUAUAUUAUGAAAGUGGAACAGAGCAAACAAAGUCAGAAAUUUUAA
rnacentral:lncRNA from 1 species